CACUGUGGGGUGCACAUGUGUAUUUAGACCUCUUUGUAUGGCCUUUGCUGGAUGAUUGCUCUUGUUCAUACUGCUGGUUGUUUAAUCUCAAAAUUAGUUGUUUAAGGCAUUUGCAAAACCAAUAAAUGGUGCCAUAUUCAUUUUCAACCCAAGGACAGAGCUGCUGUUUUUAAAGGUAAUCCACACUAGUUUAUGGGCGGGGCAGAAACUUCAGCUGUCAUGGGAACUGUCCACACUUGCUCAGAGGCUCAAGCAGAUCAUGAGCAUCUUAAGAGGAAUUUAGAUAUCUGCUACGCCUACCUACACAAAGAUGCGAAGAUGAGAGCUGCAGCCUACAAGAGUCAUUGAAGCAUUUGUUUGAUGCCACUAGUUGGA